UCCUCUAAUUUCUAAGUAGGUCUUAGCUAGGCUUCCAUAGAGAAUAUUAGAAUGGUUAAGGUUUACGAGGAAUAUGAUUCCCAAGGAGAAGAAGAAGAAGAUGGUCUGAAUAGGAAGAUGGUGUUGGUCUCAAAGAGCCUAAUGGUUCAAAUCAAAUCAGUAUAUCGAAUCGAUGAUUUACCAGAGUGGCUACUCCAAAGCAGAUUAGAGAGGCCAUGCAGGUUGAUUUAGCUCCCUUGUCAAGAGUCAUCUGCAGCUUGCUGGUUGCCUCUUUUGCCCACUGCUGUGCUGGACACAUACGAGAUGACCAUUAAAGAGCGAGAAGUGGCCCUUGAAGAACGUGACCGAUCUAGGAGGGAUUUCAAAAAAAUUAAGGAUAUCCUGAACAAGCUAAUGGUUGAGGUGCAAAGUGUUCGUUGUCGUGUCCCUCCUAUGUGCAAGACUUACGGGUUUCGCAACAACUAAGUAAUGCAUGUGGUGUAUUUUUCACAUUGUAUAUUAAUUAUGCAUCCAUUGUAUUAUGAUGA